ACUACAAAGCAGAAGGACCAGAGAAAAAGAAAGACAAAUGCCGCCUCUGGAAUCCUGAGGUACCUUCUCUGAGGGAGGAAAUGGGGUUCCUCUGACUCCCUGGAUUCUGGGUUUGUUUUCCUUUACUGCUUCUGUCACACACUCACAACUUGGACCUUGACAUGCUGCUGCUUCAGACAAGCUCUUCAGUUAGGACUGGGACAAAGUGAAGUCCAGCUAAUGUCGCGUGUCUCCUUGUGGCUGAUCCCCAAGAUGGAUUUAUAGGACAAAGAAAUAGCCCUUCCUUCUGGUUACAAUCCCCUGAAAUCCUAUAAGGCUGGCAUUGUGAGAAUUGCUUUUUUCCACCUCACAGAUCUCUUCUGUGGAUCCAGCCAAUGUUAAAUGGUUGUGUAUGACCCACAGUUUAGAUCUUUAUUUCUUCUGCCUAGGUUCUCUCUAGCUUGGGCAGGUGGAUUUUGUCCCAUUUUGAAAUAUUUGCUCAAGAGAGAUGCCAAAUACACUGGCCGUGUCUGCCCUUUUUGUUCUUUUGUCCCUUGAUCCCUCUCCUUAGGCUUGUUGGCAGAAGAAUUUUCGAGCAGGGAAGUGGGUGUGGAAGAAGUCUGUGCCAGUUCUCACACGUGUCUUUUAAAUUACACAGCCUAAUAGUGAAGUUCUAGAUAAAGCAGCAGUCCCUGUGCUGCUUCCUCCUGGAAUGUUCCCAGAGCCCUCUGUUGCCAAGGGGAGCAUCAAAGGGACCUGGAAAGCAGCAGGAGCAGCAAAAGAAGAAGACAAUGGCUCCCUCUGCAAUCCUAAGCAUCUCGGUGGUCUUAUAGACAAAGUGAUUAACCCCGUGCAGCGUCCUGCUGGAAAACGCAGCAGAGUGGGUGAGCGCUCUGCGGCUAAGGAGCAUGGCAAAGGUAAUUUCAGAGGCACUACCUGGUUACGUUUAUAAGUUUCUCUGGAGAGUGAAACAAGCACUCAGGUCUAUCAUGAACUUCUUAUGUUUUUCUUAGGGGUCUUGCAACCAGCAGGAGGAGCAGCAGAAAAGGAAGACACUGAUUCUUCCCUGGAUUCUGAGACUGAUCCUAAAAGUCAAGGGAGAGUGUGGACCAGUGUGUGGCUUCCUGCUGCAAAAGGCAACAGGUUGGAUGCGCGCUCUGCCAAAGUGGAAUGUGGCAAAGGUGUCUCGUCAGCAGCAUCAGUAGAAGCAGAAAAGGAAGAUGGUGAUCUCUCUUGGGGUUCUGAGGUACCUUCUCUGAGGGAGACGGGGGGCCCUCUGGCUCACCUACUUCUGAACUCAAUCUAUUUUGAUGCUGCUUCUGCCACACUCUCCUUACUUGGACCUUAA
rnacentral:lncRNA from 1 species